rnacentral:lncRNA from 1 species
UUUUAUUUCACACAGAUGAAAUGUUACAGUGUGCACACAUUCAAAGAGCCGUAACUGGUUGCAACAUCUGUUAUCAUUGCUCAGCGUGCCACCGUUCAUUGCCGACAUAUAGUAAUGAAGAACACAAACAAGCAAUUAUAAAUUGUGAAAUUGUGCAAAAUCAUAAAACAGUUUUUUUGUUCGUUGCCAGCAGUCCACGUUGGGUACCUACCCUACGUUCUUGAGAGAAAAAAACGUGUAUUUGGUAAUAAAAGCAUUCAGGCGAAGGUACAUAAGACGUUUGCAAGUGCAAAGUUCACUUCCCUGUACAAAAAAUGAUCACCGUGCACCACGUACACGCCGUAGGGUGCACCUAUUGCCAGAAGGCCAUACCCACAAGGCCUCCAGACAUGGCGCACCCAUAACGCAUCAUGGCCGGUGACCCAAGAGAGACCAGGAAUACUCAAUUUAAGCUGUGAGAAUACACUACACACAUUACAUACACAUUAGCCUCACGCAUUGUCAUAAAACUACAAUAGUAUGCUAAGUGGGCGAUAUAAAUAAGAUUUAUAUCCAUUUCUUAUUGAUAUAAUUUAAAAUUUAGAUAAUAGAAAUAUUU